UACGUAGGUGGCAAGUGUUGUCCGGAAUUAUUGGGCGUAAAGCGCGCGCAGGCGGCCUUUUAAGUCUGAUGUGAAAGCCCACGGCUCAACCGUGGAAGGUCAUUGGAAACUGAAGGGCUUGAGUACAGAAGAGGAAAGCGGAAUUCCACGUGUAGCGGUGAAAUGCGUAGAGAUGUGGAGGAACACCAGUGGCGAAGGCGGCUUUCUGGUCUGUAACUGACGCUGAGGCGCGAAAGCGUGGGGAGCAAACAGG
rnacentral:rRNA from 1 species